rnacentral:rRNA from 1 species
GAUGAACGCUGGCGGCGUGCCUAAUACAUGCAAGUCGAGCGAAUGGAUUAAGAGCUUGCUCUUAUGAAGUUAGCGGCGGACGGGUGAGUAACACGUGGGUAACCUGCCCAUAAGACUGGGAUAACUCCGGGAAACCGGGGCUAAUACCGGAUAACAUUUUGAACCGCAUGGUUCGAAAUUGAAAGGCGGCUUCGGCUGUCACUUAUGGCUGGACCCGCGUCGCAUUAGCUAGUUGGUGAGGUAACGGCUCACCAAGGCAACGAUGCGUAGCCGACCUGAGAGGGUGAUCGGCCACACAGGGACUGAGACACGGCCCAGACUCCUACGGGAGGCAGCAGUAGGGAAUCUUCCGCAAUGGUCGAAAGUCUGACGGAGCAACGCCGCGUGGGUGAUGAAGGCUUUCGGGUCGUAAAACUCUGUUGUUAGGGAAGAACAAGUGCUAGUUGAAUAAGCUGGCACCUUGACGGUACCUAACCAGAAAGCCACGGCUAACUACGUGCCAGCCGCCGCAGUAA